GUCCAUUGUUUGUGGUGCCUUAAUCCAAGUGCCCACUCCAAAAUCAGUCCUCACACUCACCAACCCACCAAAACACAGCUGUUUUUCUUUGUCCUCAAUCCACAAUAUUAAUUCCAAAAAAUUUUACAUCUUUCUUGUGAAUUGCAACCUAAUAAACAACAAGCUUAAUCUCAAUCUCUCAGUAACUGUGAUAUAUAUUUCCAAGUUUUCUUUUCACUCAUCCCCAACACUUGUUAGCAAUAUGAAGAAGCUUUUCCUUUUCACAUUCUUGCUUUGCUUUCUUCUCUUCACAUCUUCCUUCAUAGACAUUGUCAACGCGAAGCCCGUGUUUUGUGACAAGAAAUGCAAGAAGAGAUGCUCAAAGGCAGGAGUGAAGGAUAGAUGCAUAAAGUAUUGUGGGAUUUGCUGUGGGUAUUGUAAGUGUGUUCCUUCUGGAACUUAUGGGAACAAACACGAGUGCCCUUGUUAUAGGGACAUGAGAAGUUCUAAGGGUAGACCCAAGUGCCCUUGAGAUCAUCUCAAAUGGCUCUUCAACAAAUCUAUGCAAUGUAAUCCUUUUCUAAAAAUUUGAUACACUAAAUGUUGAGAUGUACUUGAGUUAAGUGUUGUUGUAAUUUGGCAUGAGUUCAUGGAAUAAUGUUCUUCUAAACUUCAUGUGGAUUGAAUAUAUGAGUCAAGAGAUGUGUUUAUCAAUCAAUAAAUAAAUAAAUCUCUCUUAUUUGAAGGUAGGAGGUGAUUUGGGAUGACCUAAGUGAUUUUUGUUAUUUGACAGAUUAAUCAUUAAUUUGUAUAAGUCAUUUAGUCAUUCCAUUAAAAAAAAAUUAACAAAAUGAAAUUCAUUAUUGCAAAUAUCACAAAAUUACUAAUAUAUUUAAAAUUUUGUAUGAUUAAUUGUAAAGAGUGAUUGAAAAGAGAAAAAAGAAAAAAAGAAAAGGAAACUCAUUUCGUCUUCUUUCUCACCCACGCACGCGACCCAAACCCCCUACCACCACCGCCGGUUUCUUUCACCGUCGCUGCCGGAGCUUCGCCGCUCUUUCGCCGGUCAGUGAAGCCCAGCUGUCGUGCACUUCCAUCAGAUCGCCUGCCCAGCCUUCGUUUGCUGGAUGGUCGUCGUCGACUCCCUGGGUUCCUCGCUUUUCGCUAUCCUUCGUCGGAACCUGGUUGAAUUAUAGCUUUUGGAAGGAAGUAAGCGGCUGUCCAGCGGGUUUAGUGUUGUUGAGCGACUAUUGGGUUGGAUCUUGAUUAAUUGCUUGGAUUAAAAUUUGUGAUCAAAUUUGAGAUAAAGGAAGAAUGAGAAUUGUAGGUCUGACAGGUGGGAUUUCAUCGGGGAAGAGCACUGUGUCCAACCUCUUCAAGGCCCAUGACAUUCCUAUAGUUGAUGCUGACCUCAUAGCUCGUGUAUGUUCGUCUCCUUCUUUCAUGUGUAAUAUACAACAAAAUGGAAAGGAUUUCUGGAUUUCACCAUUCUUUAUACCCUCAUUGCUAAUGAUGUGGUUGAGAAAGGAACUGGUGGCUGGAAAAAGGUUGUUUCAGCUUUCGGGGAGGACAUUUUACUAUCUAAUGGUGAAAUUGAUAGGCGAAAACUGGGCCAAAUUGUUUUUGCUGAUCCUGCAAAGCGGAAACUUUUAAAUCAGUAAGAAAAGCUAGCUUUAGAUUUCUAGGCCUUAAGCUGUAUAUGGCUGUGCCAUUAUUAUUUUUUUGUUUGUUUCUCUACUUCUUCUUAGAGACGUGUUGAACUUUACGGUUUUGUUAUUCUUUCCCUUCCUGUCUUGUUAUCCUUUCCUUUUAUGUCUUACUUGCAUUAUCCUUGUGGUGUUGAUUUCCAUUCAAUACAUUAUAGCUCAGUGCUGUCUCUGUUUCUCUAUUAUUGUUAGGAUGUGCUGAUUUUCAGGAGAAGAAUCCUAACAGUAUACUCAUAGUUUGAUGCAAACAUAAAAAAGUCUUGGACAUUGGUGCAGAGGACUGAUCACUCCAUGCAUUUCUUUUUGGAUUAAGAUUACUUGUAUUUCUCUUUAAUUUUGAUUGACAAGACACACGCACACACUUAUGUGUGCACACCUAGAAAUGACCUAGAAGCCAUGAGACAGUGAAUCUAAAUUGAUGAGAAACAUAGGAAUAUGCCAAAUUUUUUUUGAAGAUCAGCACUUAAAUUCAUGUAUGCAUUUGUCUCCUUGGUACAUUAUGUGCAGUUCAAAUACUAUAUACCUGAUCAUCUUUUUAUGCA